rnacentral:rRNA from 1 species
GGCUCAGGAUGAACGCUAGCUACAGGCUUAACACAUGCAAGUCGAGGGGAAACGAUAUUGGAAGCUUGCUUCCGAUAGGCGUCGACCGGCGCACGGGUGAGUAACGCGUAUCCAACCUGCCCAUCACUUGGGGAUAACCUUGCGAAAGUAAGACUAAUACCCAAUGACGUCUCUAGAAGACAUCUGAAAGAGAUUAAAGAUUUAUCGGUGAUGGAUGGGGAUGCGUCUGAUUAGCUUGUUGGCGGGGUAACGGCCCACCAAGGCGACGAUCAGUAGGGGUUCUGAGAGGAAGGUCCCCCACAUUGGAACUGAGACACGGUCCAAACUCCUACGGGAGGCAGCAGUGAGGAAUAUUGGUCAAUGGACGAGAGUCUGAACCAGCCAAGUAGCGUGCAGGAAGACGGCCCUAUGGGUUGUAAACUGCUUUUAUAAGGGAAUAAAGUGAGUCUCGUGAGACUUUUUGCAUGUACCUUAUGAAUAAGGACCGGCUAAUUCCGUG